UGGGGAAUUGUUCGCAAUGGGCGCAAGCCUGACGACGCAACGCCGCGUGGAGGAUGAAGAUCUUCGGGUCGUAAACUCCUGUCGAGCGGGACGAAUGGUCCGCGACCUAAUACGUCGCGGAAAUGACGGUACCGCUAGAGGAAGCCCCGGCUAACUCCGUGCCAGCAGCCGCGGUAAUACGGGGGGGGCUAGCGUUGUUCGGAAUUACUGGGCGUAAAGGGCUCGUAGGUGGCCAACUAAGUCAUGCGUGAAAUCCCUCGGCUUAACCGGGGAACUGCGUCUGAUACUGGAUGGCUUGAAUCCGGGAGAGGAUGCGGAAUUCCAGGUGUAGCGGUGAAAUGCGUAGAUAUCUGGAGGAACACCGGUGGCGAAGGCGGCAUCCUGGACCGGCAUUGACACUGAGGAGCGAAAGCCAGGGGAGCAAACGGGAUUAGAUACCCCGGUAGUCCUGGCCCUAAACGAUGAAUGCUUGGUGUGAC
rnacentral:rRNA from 1 species